CCACUUCUCACUUUCAUUUUGCAAAAAUUCAUUGACUAUUUGAUAACAAAUAAAGCUUUUGGAUGUCGGCACAGACACAACCAAUGCACAAUCAUGAUGCAGGGCAAAGUUAAACAAUUCUGCUUCGUGGUGGGGCCUUUUCAACGCAAUAACAGGCAUCCCUAGCGGGCCUAUCCUGCCCUUUGCUGCCGCCAUUUUUUG